rnacentral:rRNA from 1 species
UACUCCUACGGGGAGGCAGCAGUGGGGAAUUUUGGACAAUGGGGGCAACCCUGAUCCAGCAAUGCCGCGUGUGUGAAGAAGGCCUUCGGGUUGUAAAGCACUUUUGUCCGGAAAGAAAACUUCGUCCCUAAUAUGGAUGGAGGAUGACGGUACCGGAAGAAUAAGCACCGGCUAACUACGUGCCAGCAGCCGCGGUAAUACGUAGGGUGCGAGCGUUAAUCGGAAUUACUGGGCGUAAAGCGUGCGCAGGCGGUCUGUUAAGACCGAUGUGAAAUCCCCGGGCUUAACCUGGGAACUGCAUUGGUGACUGGCAGGCUUUGAGUGUGGCAGAGGGAGGUAGAAUUCCACGUGUAGCAGUGAAAUGCGUAGAGAUGUGGAGGAAUACCGAUGGCGAAGGCAGCCUCCUGGGCCAACACUGACGCUCAUGCACGAAAGCUACCUUUU